UUGAAGAGUUUGAUCAUGGCUCAGAUUGAACGCUGGCGGCAGGCCUAACACAUGCAAGUCGAACGGUAACAGGAAGCAGCUUGCUGCUUUGCUGACGAGUGGCGGACGGGUGAGUAAUGUCUGGGAAACUGCCUGAUGGAGGGGGAUAACUACUGGAAACGGUAGCUAAUACCGCAUAACGUCGCAAGACCAAAGAGGGGGACCUUCGGGCCUCUUGCCAUCGGAUGUGCCCAGAUGGGAUUAGCUAGUAGGUGGGGUAACGGCUCACCUAGGCGACGAUCCCUAGCUGGUCUGAGAGGAUGACCAGCCACACUGGAACUGAGACACGGUCCAGACUCCUACGGGAGGCAGCAGUGGGGAAUAUUGCACAAUGGGCGCAAGCCUGAUGCAGCCAUGCCGCGUGUAUGAAGAAGGCCUUCGGGUUGUAAAGUACUUUCAGCGGGGAGGAAGGGAGUAAAGUUAAUACCUUUGCUCAUUGACGUUACCCGCAGAAGAAGCACCGGCUAACUCCGUGCCAGCAGCCGCGGUAAUACGGAGGGUGCAAGCGUUAAUCGGAAUUACUGGGCGUAAAGCGCACGCAGGCGGUUUGUUAAGUCAGAUGUGAAAUCCCCGGGCUCAACCUGGGAACUGCAUCUGAUACUGGCAAGCUUGAGUCUCGUAGAGGGGGGUAGAAUUCCAGGUGUAGCGGUGAAAUGCGUAGAGAUCUGGAGGAAUACCGGUGGCGAAGGCGGCCCCCUGGACGAAGACUGACGCUCAGGUGCGAAAGCGUGGGGAGCAAACAGGAUUAGAUACCCUGGUAGUCCACGCCGUAAACGAUGUCGACUUGGAGGUUGUGCCCUUGAGGCGUGGCUUCCGGAGCUAACGCGUUAAGUCGACCGCCUGGGGAGUACGGCCGCAAGGUUAAAACUCAAAUGAAUUGACGGGGGCCCGCACAAGCGGUGGAGCAUGUGGUUUAAUUCGAUGCAACGCGAAGAACCUUACCUUGGUCUUGACAUCCACGGAAGUUUUCAGAGAUGAGAAUGUGCCUUCGGGAACCGUGAGACAGGUGCUGCAUGGCUGUCGUCAGCUCGUGUUGUGAAAUGUUGGGUUAAGUCCCGCAACGAGCGCAACCCUUAUCCUUUGUUGCCAGCGGUCCGGCCGGGAACUCAAAGGAGACUGCCAGUGAUAAACUGGAGGAAGGUGGGGAUGACGUCAAGUCAUCAUGGCCCUUACGACCAGGGCUACACACGUGCUACAAUGGCGCAUACAAAGAGAAGCGACCUCGCGAGAGCAAGCGGACCUCAUAAAGUGCGUCGUAGUCCGGAUUGGAGUCUGCAACUCGACUCCAUGAAGUCGGAAUCGCUAGUAAUCGUGGAUCAGAAUGCCACGGUGAAUACGUUCCCGGGCCUUGUACACACCGCCCGUCACACCAUGGGAGUGGGUUGCAAAAGAAGUAGGUAGCUUAACCUUCGGGAGGGCGCUUACCACUUUGUGAUUCAUGACUGGGGUGAAGUCGUAACAAGGUAACCGUAGGGGAACCUGCGGUUGGAUCACCUCCUU
rnacentral:rRNA from 1 species